rnacentral:miRNA from 1 species
CGUAUAUAUUAGGGAGAGAGGGAGGGAAAAUUUGCUGACAGAAAGAGAAGUGAGCACAUAUAGCUUCAAGCACAUGAACUCUCUCUCUCUAUAUAUAUG